rnacentral:rRNA from 1 species
ACCGGCUAACUCCGUGCCAGCAGCCGCGGUAAUACGGAGGGUGCAAGCGUUACUCGGAAUCACUGGGCGUAAAGCGCAUGUAGGCGGUCUUGUAAGUUGGGUGUGAAAGCCUAUGGCUCAACCAUAGAACUGCACCCAAAACUACUAGACUAGAGUCUGGGAGAGGAAAAUGGAAUUAGUUGUGUAGGGGUAAAAUCCGUAGAGAUAACUAGGAAUACCAAAAGCGAAGGCAAUUUUCUGGAACAGUACUGACGCUCAGAUGCGAAAGCGUGGGUAGCAAACAGGAUUAGAUACCCUGGUAGUCCACGCCCUAAACGAUGAAUGUUAGUCGUCGGGAGGCUCGUCCUUUCGGUGAUGCAGCUAACGCAUUACAUUAACAUUCCGCCUGGGGAGGUGCGGUCCGAAGGAUUAAAACUCAAAAGGGAAUAGGACGGGAGCCCCGCACAAAGUGGUGGAGCAUGGUGGUUUAAUUCGGAAGGAUAACGAGAAGAGCCUUACCUAGCCUGGACAUGAUAGGAAUCCCUUAUGGGAUCAGGGGAGGUGCCAGUUUGCUGGAACCUUGACACAGGUGCUGCACGGCUGUCGUCAGCUCGUGUCGUGAGGUGUUGGGUUAAGUCCCGCAACGAGCGCAACCCUCGUUCUUAGUUGCCAGCGAUUCGGUCGAGAACUCUAAGAAGACUGCCUGCGUAAGCGGGAGGAAGGUGGGGAUGAUGUCAAGUCAUCACGGCCCUUAUGCCUUGGGCAACACACGUGCUACAAUGGGACGUACAGAGAGUCGCAAUACCACGAGGUGGAGCCAAUCUUUAAAACGUCUCUCAGUUCGGAUUGUAGUCUGCAACUCGACUACAUGAAGUCGGAAUCGCUAGUAAUCGUGGAUCAGCUAUGCUACGGUGAAUACAUUCCCGGGUCUUGUACUCACCGCCCGUCACACCAUGGGAGUUGAUAUUGCCUUAAGUCGGGACGCUAACCG